CCUACGGGAGGCUGCAGUGAGGAAUAUUGGUCACUGGACGAGAGUCUGAACCAGCCAAGUAGCGUGAAGGAUGACUGCCCUAUGGGUUGUAAACUUCUUUUAUAAAGGAAUAAAACGAGGCACGUGUGCCUUUUUGCAUGUACUUUAUGAAUAAGGAUCGGCUAACUCCGUGCCAGCAGCCGCGGUAAUACGGAGGAUCCGAGCGUUAUCCGGAUUUAUUGGGUUUAAAGGGAGCGUAGAUGGGUUGUUAAGUCAGUUGUGAAAGUUUGCGGCUCAACCGUAAAAUUGCAAUUGAUACUGGCAGUCUUGAGUACAGUUGAGGUAGGCGGAAUUCGUGGUGUAGCGGUGAAAUGCUUAGAUAUCACGAAGAACCCCGAUUGCGAAGGCAGCUUACUAAACUGUGACUGACAUUGAUGCUCGAAAGUGUGGGUAUCGAACAGGAUUAGAUACCCGGGUAGUC
rnacentral:rRNA from 1 species